CCUACGGGUGGCAGCAGUAGGGAAUAUUGCUCAAUGGGGGAAACCCUGAAGCAGCAACGCCGCGUGGAGGAUGAAGUUUUUCGGAUUGUAAAAUCCUUUUGUUAGAGAAGAUAAUAAGGGUAUCUAACGAAUAAGCACCGGCUAACUCCGUGCCAGCAGCCGCGGUAAUACGGAGGGUGCAAGCGUUACUCGGAAUCACUGGGCGUAAAGGGCGCGUAGGCGGGAUAGCAAGUCAGAUGUGAAAGCCUAUGGCUUAACCAUAGAACUGCAUUUGAAACUGUUAUUCUAGAGUAUGGGAGAGGUAGGUGGAAUUCUUGGUGUAGGGGUAAAAUCCGUAGAGAUCAAGAGGAAUACUCAUUGCGAAGGCGACCUGCUAGAACAUAACUGACGCUGAUGCGCGAAAGCGUGGGGAGCAAACAGGAUUAGAUACCCGAGUAGUC
rnacentral:rRNA from 1 species